CCUACGGGAGGCAGCAGUGGGGAAUAUUGGCCAAUGGGGGCGAACCCUGAUCCAGCCAUGCCGCGUGAGUGAAGAAGGCCUUAGGGUUGUAAAGCUCUUUCACCGGGGAAGAUAAUGACGGUACUCGGAGAAGAAGCCCCGGCUAACUCCGUGCCAGCAGCCGCGGUAAUACGGAGGGGGCAAGCGUUGUUCGGAUUUACUGGGCGUAAAGCGCGCGUAGGCGGUUUGUUAAGUUGGGGGUGAAAGCCCGGGGCUCAACCCCGGAACUGCGUUCGAAACUGGCAGGCUAGAGUUCGGGAGAGGAGAGUGGAAUUCCCAGUGUAGAGGUGAAAUUCGUAGAUAUCGGGAAGAACACCAGUGGCGAAGGCGGCCACCUGGACCGAUACUGACGCUGAAGUGCGAAAGCGUGGGGAGCAAACAGGAUUAGAUACCCUGGUAGA
rnacentral:rRNA from 1 species